GAUGAACGCUGGCGGCGUGCCUAAUACAUGCAAGUCGAACGAGGUGCUUUUGUAGCAAUACGAGGGUAUCCUAGUGGCGAACGGGUGAGUAACGCGUUGGUGACCUGCCCCAAAGUGUGGGAUAACAGUCCGAAAGGAUUGCUAAUACCGCAUGUGGUCCCCGGAUUUAGAAACCGGUGACUAAAGCAGUAAUGCGCUUUGGGAGGGACCUGCGUCCCAUCAGCUAGUUGGUGAGGUAACGGCCCACCAAGGCGACGACGGGUAGGGGACCUGAGAGGGUGGCCCCCCACAAUGGAACUGAAACACGGUCCAUACACCUACGGGUGGCAGCAGUAGGGAAUAUUGCACAAUGGGCGAAAGCCUGAUGCAGCAACGCCGCGUGUGCGAAGAAGGCCUUCGGGUCGUAAAGCACUUUUCUGGGAGAUGAGAAAGGACAGUAUCCCAGGAAUAAGUCUCGGCUAACUACGUGCCAGCAGCCGCGGUAACAC
rnacentral:rRNA from 1 species